rnacentral:rRNA from 1 species
UAGGGAAUCUUCCGCAAUGGGCGAAAGCCUGACGGAGCAACGCCGCGUGAGUGAUGAAGGUCUUCGGAUCGUAAAACUCUGUUAUUAGGGAAGAACAAAUGUGUAAGUAACUAUGCACGUCUUGACGGUACCUAAUCAGAAAGCCACGGCUAACUACGUGCCAGCAGCCGCGGUAAUACGUAGGUGGCAAGCGUUAUCCGGAAUUAUUGGGCGUAAAGCGCGCGUAGGCGGUUUUUUAAGUCGGAUGUGAAAGCCCACGGCUCAACCGUGGAGGGUCAUUGGAAACUGGAAAACUUGAGUGCAGAAGAGGAAAGUGGAAUUCCAUGUGUAGCGGUGAAAUGCGCAGAGAUAUGGAGGAACACCAGUGGCGAAGGCGACUUUCUGGUCUGUAACUGACGCAGAUGUGCGAAAGCGUGGGGAUCAAACAGG